rnacentral:rRNA from 1 species
CAGGGAAUCUUGCGCAAUGGGCGAAAGCCUGACGCAGCGACACCGCGUGGGGGAGGAAUGCCUUCGGGUUGUAAACCCCUUUUCUCGGGGAAGAGGAUGGACGGUACCCGAGGAAUAAGGUUCGGCUAACUACGUGCCAGCAGCCGCGGUAAUACGUAGGAACCGAGCGUUGUCCGAAUUUACUGGGCGUAAAGGGUGUGCAGGUGGCCUCUCAAGUCUCAUGUGAAAUCUCCCGGCUUAACUGGGAUAGGUCAUGGGAAACUGAGGGGCUUGAGGGCAGUAGAGGAAAGUGGAAUUCCCGGAGUAGUGGUGAAAUGCGUAGAUACCGGGAGGAACACCAGUGGCGAAAGCGACUUUCUGGACUGAUCCUGACACUGAGGCACGAGAGCAUGGGGAGCAAACCGG